GACAGCUCAGAGCCUGGAGCCUGCUUCAGAUUCUGUGUCUCCCUCUCUCUGACCCUCCCCUGUUCAUGCUCUGUCUCUCUCUGUCUCAAAAAUAAAUAAACAUUAAAAAAAAAAAAGAUAGAGUAUGUUAAAUCCGAUAGCCAAGUAGAUACAGUUGACAGAGUAAGAAUACUUAAUUUAUAUUUGCCGCUGUAGGAGUUCUUUGGCAGUCUUUUUCCUGCUAAGAGCCAGAGAUCGGAAGAGCGUGGUGU